CUGUAAUUGUAUGCUUACUACUAGGGGUAAAUGUAAGCCAAUCCAUUUGAAAUAAUAUCAAUGUGUUGUAACACAGAGCUAUCCGACUGAGGGGAUUGUAUUGCAGUUACCCCCUGCGUUCACCCUAUAUGUAAUUACUGGAAAGUCUCAUGCUGUGUGAACGGAAUUCAGAAUACCAGAGCAAACAGUGUAAUACCCUUCUUUUACUUUAGGCUAUGCAGUUAAUUCAUACGAAAAUGAAACAAGAAAGUGGCAGAUAAAAGGUAAUCUUCAUAACAAAACAUUCCGUCCAAAUGUUUAAUUAGUGCGUCUCAUGAAACUGUAAUGAUAAGUACUAGGCACCUUUACACGUUCAGACACACCCAGUACGGCAAAGAUCUGGAAAUGCCCACAGCAUGUGGUGUCAUUCACCGUCUCACACAUUUCCGACACACCCUAUCUUAACCUGGCAUUGGCUUUGACAUUUCGCAAUGCGUACUUAACACGCAGAUAGUGGGUGUCUUUCAGCUGCAUUAAUCACAGCGCGGAAUCCGUCAGAGGACAAUGUUGAAUGAACGACACACACAGCCGUCUUUGUAUCAGCGUCUCUGCCAGUGUGGAUUCGGAGGCUCAGAAUCAACAGAGCUGGAUUCCACCAGGCAGCUGUUGGGCUGAACGUGACACGGUGCAACUCGGCACAGAUCCUCGUGCCUUUCCCUGCCCCCGCCACGCAAUGUCACACAUUUCAGUGGCAGCAUUGGUGAACAGUAUAAGAAAUCUCAUAAAUGUAUGAGCAUCUACCGCCCACCUAAUCCUGAAUGACUCAUUGCACAUAGGUGCUGGAGCAUCUGUAUACAAGCGUUCGCUCAAAUCUGUGUAUAUGGCAGUAUUAAAAAAGCAAUACCAACAAUACGUUAUUUAAUGAAUGGUCGCUGAUUAUGGUCUCAUAUUCUUGUUCAUUUACAUGUACUCAGAUGGAAGGUUUAUUGUGUGGUUUCCUAUAGCAGGACUGCUGUGAUAGCGGUAUUCUACGGAAAAAAAAAAAAAUGUAAAUAGCUCAAGUCACACUUUUGUAAGAUUCCUGUAAUCUGAGCCAACACGUGUGGGCUGCGGUUUUCCUUUGAAACGCCUUACAAUGUAAGCUGCGCCCCCCUGUGGACAUUGUGUUUGAUGUUCUGUACAUUUUCACUAAUAGGUGGCGCUGUUUUUUUCAUGUCAUAUGAUAAAUGUCAUAAAGACUUUAUAAUAACUAGCAAAGCAGUAUAAACAUAAUUGGUAACACUUCACAAUAAGGCAUCAUAAACUAAUGUAUUAACUAACAUGAACAAACAAUGAUCAAUACAUUUAUACACUAUUUAUUCAUCUUUGUUAAUGUUAGGUAAUAAAAAUACAGUUCAUUGUUCAUGUUACAGUGCAUUAUCUAAUGUUAACAAACAACUUGUAAUUUUUAUAAAGCAUUAGUAAAUGCUGAAAUUAACAUUAAGUACAUAAUUGUUUAAAUAAGGAUAUAUACAUUAAAAAAAAAAAAAGUCUGACAACACUUUUGGAUAAAUAAACAGUAGUUUUAUUGAAACAUUGUAAACAAGGUCAACAUUAGUUCAUGUAAAGUAUUCAAAACAUAAUAUACAAUAUGUUUAUCUUUAAAAAUAUAACUUAUAUUUGUGAUACAAACAUCUUCGGGCAGAUUUUUUAAAUGAAAUAUAUUU